AGUCUGGAUGAACUAGAACGUGCAAUAGAAGAAGGCAUCCACUGUGUGAGCUACGAAGACGACGAUGAAAUCCCUAUUGGAUCACUCUGUAUGGCGUGCUUUACUAAAGAUGACAAGUGGUAUCGUGCACGUAUCCUGGGCACGAAGCUUGAUAACGAGUAUGACGUGUUCUUUGUCGAUUACGGUGAUCGUGAGUGGUUGACGCGCAGCAGAUUACGUCCAGUGUGGACAGACAUCCUUACUCUUCCUCUACAGGCUGUCGAGUGCUCAUUAGUCAACGUUAUCCCUUUAGAAAACGACUGGACUACCUCAG